UAUCAUCUAAUUGUAACAAGACAUGUUGUAUCAACAGGUUCAUAUUAUAAACAAAUAUUUACUCACCAUAUCUUUGAUAUUAAUCCUUAUUGGGAAUCAAAAUCAUUAAUCCAUUUUUUUUAUGAAUGAACUACACAUCCCUUUAACAAAUCGCACGUGGUAAAUGAUCACUCGACCAGAAAUUUAAUGUAAUUGAAAUUAACAUAACAAAAGACUUGAUGUACGAUAAAAUUGAAACUGCUUAAUAAAUACAGGUAGCCUUUGUGAGAAAUAAACGAAGAUAAAAAACAUACUUUAUUCAAAUAAUUAUAUAUGGUGAGAGUUAUAGAUAUAUAGAUCGAUAUUGAUUGCAGGUACAUGUACAUUUGUACAAGGAUAGAUAAUAUUUAUAAAGGUUGAUGUUAAUCAUUUAUAGUGGGAGUUUUUUUCUCAUUUGCUUUUCCCCCGACAAAUGAGACUGUAAAAAUUGGGGCCCCCUUAGUUGCUUCCCUGGGCAACUGAGGGUUGAUGUAACAGGUGCUUGUUAAUAAAAUAUGUUUAAUAUUAAAAAAAAAAAAAAAAAAAAAAAGAACUAUUUGAAAUCUUACUGGUGUACCCUUUUUGACUCUCUUACUGGUGAACUCUCUUAUUAAACAGUCCGCUAAAAGUGAAGUCCCACCUAAAUAUAACUGAAAAUAUUUCUUUAACUAUUGCGAACAAGCUAUUAAUGUUUGUUAUUAUGAAUUGCCUUUAUUAUACACAAGAAAAUUCAUUUCAACCAAAAAUAUUGACCUCCAAUAAACCCUUUAUCAUCUUCUGACUGUCACCCGUACAUGUGACAUUUGCCCUUCAUCAAGGCAUUGUGUAAUAUGGUAUGGCGUAAGUUAUCUGUGCCUGAACGUUGGCAAGCAAUUGACAUUUCUAAUGCCGGUUGGAGUAUACGGCAAUAGACUUGCCCUAACAGCCAGGCACCGUUUAGUUAGGUUUCAAUUGGCCAAUGACCAUCGACGCUGCAAC
rnacentral:lncRNA from 1 species